CCUACGGGUGGCAGCAGUGAGGAAUAUUGGUCAAUGGGCGCGAGCCUGAACCAGCCAAGUCGCGUGAGGGAAGACGGUCCUAUGGAUUGUAAACCUCUUUUGUCGGGGAGCAAAAGACGCCACGCGUGGCGUUCUGAGAGUACCCGAAGAAAAAGCAUCGGCUAACUCCGUGAAAGCAGCCGCGGUAAUCCGGAGGAGGCGAGCGUUAUCCGGAUUUAGUGGGUUAAAAGGGUGCGCAGGCGGAAGAUCAAGUCAGCGGUAAAAGUGAGGGGCUAAACCUCUUAGAGCCGUUGAAACUGGGUAUCUUGAGUGAGUGAGAGGUAAGCGGAAUGCGUGGUGUAGCGGUGAAAUGCAUAGAUAUCACGAGGAACUCCGGUUGCGAAGGCGGCAUACCGGCGCUCAACUGACGCUGAGGCACGAAAGUGUGGGUAGCGAACAGGAUUAGAUACCCUAGUAGUC
rnacentral:rRNA from 1 species